UACGAAGGGUGCAAGCGUUAAUCGGAAUUACUGGGCGUAAAGCGCGCGUAGGUGGUUCAGUAAGUUGGAAGUGGAAUCCCCGGGCUCAACCUGGGAACUGCUUUCAAAACUGCUGAGCUAGAGUACGGUAGAGGGUGGUGGAAUUUCCUGUGUAGCGGUGAAAUGCGUAGAUAUAGGAAGGAACACCAGUGGCGAAGGCGACCACCUGGACUGAUACUGACACUGAGGUGCGAAAGCGUGGGGAGCAAACAGG
rnacentral:rRNA from 1 species